CUAGCCCCUCAGGCCGGCAGGUUGGAAGUCUCCAGGAGCUGGCGGUCAGCGUGUGUAGGAGUGAGUCUGCGAGUUUGCCAAGCUGAUUGGCAGAAAAAACAAGCGUGCACCCUCCAAGCUGCACUAUUACAACUGGGAGACGAGCCUCAACCAGAAGUCCCUGAAGAAAUUCUACAAAAGGUUGUUGAUUAAUCAAAGCUGGAGUUAUUUUACGGAGAUAGCACUGUGCAUGUGCAAGACAGGAACCUGUGUCUCCAGGAUGACCUUGGAACCAAGAAUCUUCAGUCUACAGAACUCAAAGAAUAGAAAUCUUGCCACCAGAGCCCUUUACAAAGUGAGAAGUUCUUCAAUAAGGAAAAGCUGACUUCCAGCAGCAUGAGUAGCUCAUAUGGACUAAUUCAAAACAAACCAAUCAAUCACCAUCCAGGUUUGAAAUUCCACUAACCCCUUAAAUUUCACCCCAGACUCUGGCUUGAGGAGACAGGUUUGAAAACCUUGCCUCCUGUCUCUUUGUCAGUCGACCUCGUGAUAAAGCUCUUUCUUUUCUCAAAAAUCAGUGCCAUAGUACUGGCUUCUAUGCACAUCAGGCAGCGAGCCCUUGCUCAGUAAUGUAGGGAACACCACCAUUUAAGCGAGGGGCAGAGAAAGAGAGGCCUGAGAAGGAGAAUGAUAAGGAGUGGCAGAGAUAGAAAAGACUUAGGUAUCAAGGAAGCCAAGAGAAGAAAGGUUCGAAGAAGAAGGGAAUGGACAGCAGUGUCAAAUGGAACUGAGAAGUCAAGUGAUGGACGGACCAAGUGUCUCCUGGAUUUGACAAAAUAUUCUUUGGUCACGAAAGUGAGAGCGGUUUCAAUGAAAUAGUGGGGUGAAAAUUAAAUAGAAGUGGGUAGUGAGUGGGAAGUAAGUGUAGACAUCUUCAAGAAGUUUAGCUGGGAAGAGGAGGUGAACAAAUACAGUAUCGGGAGGUGUUUGAUUCAGGAAGUUAAGGGAGAACUGUCUUUUGAAGAUAGGAUAAGUUUCUAUGUAUGUUUAAAUGUUGAUAGAAAGAAGGCUAUAGAUAGGGAGAGGCUGAAAAUACAAGAGACAGGAUAAUCGAGUGAAGUGCUUAAGAGGGUAGGAAAAGAUGAGAAAUAAAUGUAAAAGUCAUUAGCCUCAGAAGGAGAAGGUACGUAUUGUCAAUGUUGACAGGUGGGAAAGAAGAAAGAACAGGCAUACGUGGAGUUACAUUUAUAGUGUGGGAAUUAGAGGGGUUUACGGGGGGAUAGUUUCUUUUUUUCUGCAGAAUCAGUGGGGUGGGGGGUUAGGUUUGGCACUUCUUGAAGAUUUGAGGAACAUGGGAAAGUGAAGUAUCCACAGCAUACAUGGGAGAGAGGGUGAUGGCGAGGUAACCAGAGGCUUAGCUGGUCCCCAGGUGAUUCUGUUAUAGGAGUUCUUCAGAUCACACUUCGAGAACUACUGAUAGGAGGGGAUUAUUUUAUUCUGGGAGAGUUUUUUACAAAAUGGGAGAAAAUUGCCCACUGCGAGGGCAGGGGGGACAAUUAACACAAAAAGGUAUCAUUGAUGGGGCAAAAUCGCUAAGGAAAUGGGAGCUGUGAUAAAGAAGAAAGGAGGAAGGAUCAGUCUUGGACAGGAGGUGUGUCACCUCUCCAACUAAGAUCAGCCUUAGGCGGAGAGAGCCUGAAAUCCUCUUUCAUUAAGGGUCACCUCUUUCCAUUAAGAUGGGAAAGGAGGUAAAGAUAAACAUGGAGGCAGGUAACAUUGGUAGUUUCACUUCCAACAAAAUUUUUCCCCAGUGAUAAUCUCCAGCAAGCUUGGAAAAGAGAAACUAUCAAUAACAUUAUAAGUGAUAAUCUCCAGCAAGCUUGGAAAAGAGAAACAAUCAAUAACAUUAUACCUAGCGUUAUGCUAAAUCUUUCUCAUGCAGUGUGUCAUUUAAUCCUUCUAGUAACUUAAGUGGAAGGUCCUAUCACCAUUUCAUAGAGAAAGAAACUGAGGUUAGAGAACAGAAGCUAAGUAACUUGUCCAAGGAUGCCCAGAUCUUAAGGGCAGAGUCUAGGUAGUCUGAAUGUGGACCCAUGUCUGUCUGACAUCUGAGCCUACACUAUGAGCCACAGAUAUUAUACUGCUCAACUCAUUGGGGAAGGGGUAGUAAUUUGUGUGACAUUUUGCAUGGAUGAUACCAUGCAACAUGGUAGCAUGGGAGAUUGAAACUGUUUUUCCUUCAUGACUUCUCACCCGUAAGUCUUUCUUCCUACCAUCACCUCAGUCCUGAUUGAUGGCUUUUUUUUUUUCCUGAAUAUCAUUUAGAACUUUGUUGCAAAUGGCAGAAAACUGACUCAAGCUGGCUUAAUAUGAAAAAAGAAAAAGAAUUAAUUAGCCCAUGUAAUUGAAAACUUCAGAAGGCUUAGCUGGGUAAAAGCUCAGAUAAUAAUGGUUUCUGGUUCUUUUGAAGCCUCCAGCUCCAUCUCUCACUUUUUUGCCUUUUCUGUGAAACUUUAUCUGGUGCCUCCUAGCUCCUCCCUGGGUCACACAAUGGCUAUAGCAGUUCUAUCUCUUUACCACUCAGUAUAUCUAGAAACAAAGAUUUCCCCCCAUAUAAACAAGUCCUGGGCCUCGGUCAUUUGCAAGAUGAGACGUGUUUUUUAAGUUAUAAGAAAUUAUUUCCAACCAUCUCUGGAGUUGAAGGGCAAGUCAAACCCACCCACAUGAGCAAAAAGGGUACAGGUAGUUCUUCAAAGGAGACUCGGAAUUGUUUUUACCAGAAAAGGGUGACUGGAUGAUGAGGGGGAAACAACAGAUGUUUUCAUGCCUCUCUCCCAGCUUUCUUCCCCUCAUUAAUCACCUUCCUAUGUGAUUGUCAGUGACUCAAGCUGAAGUUGCUGACCUUUUGGCAGAAGAAGGUGGGCUUAAUACUCUCUACAAGUCUUACCGGUCACAUCUGUGUCUAUACAUCUUUGUCAUCUCCUUGUUUAAAUGUCUCUAUUGGCUCCACAUUGCCCACGGAAGAAUGAUUUACAAUAUCAGUGUUUAAUGGUCCACCACUCUGGUCUUCCAUGCUGUUUUAAAGUCCUGGAAUACUGGCAUUUCUGUUGGUGUGAUACGAUUAUUUUGGAGUUUAAAAAAUCUGAAUCAUUUAUGUCUUGAUACACAGAGACAUGCUUCAUUAAAAUCUUGAAUCAGAUAUAAGUGCACUUGUUUAGAAAGCCAUCUUCUAUACUUCCAUAAUCCUUAAACAAAAGAAGAAAAUAACAACCACCAAAGCAAAGCUUCUAAUGCAAGAGUAGUUCUUAUCUAUUACAAAGAUUUCCACCAAAUGGAAUAGGAACAGAACGCUAUUGGUAUUAAUAUGGUGUCCACAUUAGAAUCUCCAUUUAUGUAAGAUGAGACAGGAAGAUGAAGACAAGUGAGAAAUACUUCCUUUGAAGCAAACAAACAAAAACAGCUUGUUACAAACAAAUAUUGUCCCUGCAAAGAAAGAAAAUAUUGCCUCCCCCCAAAAAAAUCUCCUCAAACUUAUUAACGAAGAGAUAGGGUUGUUUGAAGAUAAGGGACUAGAGAAAAUACUGAUGUUUAAGAACGUCUUAUAACUAUCUCCUUAUCAUUCCCUUAACCAGCAUACAUUCAGAAUUUUUUAGCAACUGGAGAGUUUUUCACAGCUUGAUGAUAUCGUUGAUAGACUAAUAUCACUUUAAAAACAAUUGUAAUUUUACUUCAUUUUAAACCCUAAUUAAACUAUUUUAUGUAGAAUUUCCUUUAAGCAAUAUUUUAUUUUUAUAUUAAAGUGAUAUGGUUAAUAUAUUUCAGUAUAUUUGCAUUUAUGCUUAUGAAUUUUUAUAUUUGAAAUGUAAUAAAUACUUAGUUUUACUGAUCUCGGGUACUUAAUAUGUGAAAUAAGUACCAAAACCUCCUGAAAUUCUAUCCAGUAUUUAAAUGACUGUUUAGCUUGGCGCUGGAGGUCCUUCCUGUCAGCCCCUUGUCUACAGUCCCAGCCGCCCUCCUGCAUCCCCAUCCCGGGGAUGGAUAUGUUUAUCUGUGUUUCCUUUUCCAAGUAGAGCUUGGAUCCAGUCACCUCUAUUCCUUUGCUGGAGGCCCCUUCUUCAAUUUUUACCUGUAAAGGUCACAUGGGACGAGCACAACUGGUAGAAUGGAAUCUUAAAGCAAAUUCAUUUUUGUCUCCCACUAUCUUUUUAAGUCUGCACCAAGGGGCUAUUUCUCUCUUACAUUUAGAAAAGACAAAGGUUGUCCCUCAGAGGUAAUAACAGUGCUGUCACUUUUUAGGGCACAAAAUGUCAACCAGGCAUUUAAAUGGGAGUCCGAGAUGAGAAUUGUUGUAACUUCAACUUACAGUUGAAGUUUGUCCUCUCCUCCAGCUUCAGCUGGCUGCAGGCUAGAAGUCUGAAAUUUGAAGAUCGGGGGAGAGGGGCUCUUGGCUUCUCUCUUUCCUCCUCUCAUGCUCCUUCUUCUCUUCUCCCAUCUUACAAACUUGUUUUUGGCCCUUUCAGGGUCUGGAGCCUGGGGAGGGGAAUUCGUGGAUUCAUAGAAUUCUUGGUUGAUUGAUGCUGUGGAAGUGAUCUAGCUGGUGCUCUCUGGACCUUGAAGAUCUUUGAAGCCAAUUUCCCUCUUGAGGGACUUUCAUGGGUUCCUCAGAGACCUUCCCUUUCCCCACUUCUGCAGCAUCUACACGUCCAGCAGCAGUUCAUUUCCAGCUUUCACCCCCGCAGGAGGCCAUUUCGACCAGGGGCUAAGCAUAACCAUGUCAAUUCCCUUUCCCUCGGGGAUCUCAUUUGGUCCAUAGGAGACACCAUUCACCCAAACAGACUCUGGGAGUGUAGCUACUUCCCCACACCUCAGCCCUCGACAUUUUGAUUUCUCCAGUGUGAUCCAGUCAGCAGACCUGUGUCCCUCAAACUGUAGGAGACACACAUUAAGCUCCGCAGAUGGUUCCCUCAAAGUCCUGUCCUUUGGUUUGAGAUAAGGAGCGGAUAUCCCUUCUCCUCCUCAUUCACCCUUAGUGAGGAGGGUAGAAUUCUUCAUACACAGUAGUUCUUUCCAAAGAAAUCCAUUUCAAAAAGCUUCCUAUCAGCAUCCCUUUAUGCCGUCAAUGUGGGUGACCAUUUGAGAGUUACAUGCCUCUCCCUUCUCCCCUUUUUACCAUCUAUGUUUUGGUCCAACACAUAGCUCUGGAAUGUGCCUCAACUGAAGCUUUUAUUUUAACAUCUUGCUACAUCCCUAAAGAUCACUUUCAUGCCUCUACCUCCACAAAAUCUUACUGAUCAGCCCCAAGGUAGUAAUUUUCUACUUUGCCAAACUCUUAGGUGUGGAUCAUUAUGCCAUUCACAUGGUACUUAUUUUCUGCCUUGUAUUGUACUUACUUAAGUACAAUUAUUUCCACCAAAAAUUUGUAAGUUCCUCUAAGGUAGACACUAUGCAUCUUUGUUUUUAUAUCACUAAAGUCUUACACACAGUAUGUAAAUAAUAUUUGUUAUAUCCAAGAAAUAGAUUGCUCAAUAUUGCUGUGUAUGGUAAAGUCUUGGAAAGUAGAUAAUCUUUCCAAUUCAACCUCUAUCUACCGUCCUGAGUUUUAAGCACUGUGGCCAGUUGAGGAUACAGGCACAGACAAGACAAAGUCCUGUCUAGAAGCACUCAGAAUCAGCAGAAGAGAUGGUACAUUACAAAAAGUUACAUAAGUCUACAAUAAAGGUGUGAUCUAAAGGUUGUGCAUAGGAGGGAGUGGUUAACUAACCAGGAUGCUCAGGGAAGUCUUCAUGAAGUUGGAACUACUUGAAUUUUUUUAAAAAUUGAGCUAUAAUUUACUUAUCAUGAAGUUCAUGCUUUUAAAGUAUACAAUUCAGUGAUUUCUAGUAUGUUCACAAGGUUGUGCAACCAUCACCACCUUGUAAUUCCAAAACAUUCAUCACCCUCAAA